GUGUCCCCGCCAGCCUGGUGCGCGGAGCCUGGCUCCUCGGCGCGCCUGAGCAGCGGCCCUGGGAGGGAGAGGCGUCGCGUUGCAAGAAAGCUGUUGUGUCCUUGGAAGUCUUACAACUCCACAGACCACGUACUUCCUGGGCCAAAGAGCACUCCUAGUCUUUGGGGGGAUAGAAACUGAGAGAAGCAAAGAGAGACCUCCACCAUUCCAAGGUGGGACAUGUUAAAGUCCUGUUCGUGGAGAAAAGCUUUCGUGGUUGAAUGAGAGAGUUGCAAUUGUAUCUAUUUCUCUAGAGCAUUGCCAGUUGCACUUUUCAAUAAAAAAUCUUCACAUUUAUGUCCUUAUGGCUGUCCAGAGCAUCAUAGGGUAUCUGAAGAC
rnacentral:lncRNA from 1 species